UACGUAGGUGGCAAGCGUUGUCCGGAUUUACUGGGCGUAAAGAGCGCGUAGGCGGCCCUCUAAGUCAGACGUGAAAUCCCCCGGCUUAACCUGGGAACUGCGUCUGAUACUGGAGGGCUUGAGUAUGGGAGAGGGAUGUAGAAUUCCAGGUGUAGCGGUGAAAUGCGUAGAUAUCUGGAGGAAUACCGGUGGCGAAGGCGGCAUCCUGGACCAUUACUGACGCGUGAGGCGGCGAAAAGCUAGGGGAGCAAACGGG
rnacentral:rRNA from 1 species